rnacentral:tRNA from 1 species
GGUGUAGCUCAGUGGUAGAGCACUUGCCUAGCAUGUGUGAGGCUCUGGGUUCAGUCCCCAGUGCC